GAGGGUAUAGCUCACGUGGUAGAGAGCAUGCUUAGCAUGUAUGAGGUCCUGGGUUCAAUCCCCGGUACCUCCU
rfam:Camelus ferus unplaced genomic scaffold scaffold688, whole genome shotgun sequence.